rnacentral:rRNA from 1 species
UCAGGAUGAACGCUAGCUACAGGCUUAACACAUGCAAGUCGAGGGGCAUCAGGAAGAAAGCUUGCUUUCUUUGCUGGCGACCGGCGCACGGGUGAGUAACACGUAUCCAACCUGCCCUUUACUCGGGGAUAGCCUUUCGAAAGAAAGAUUAAUACCCGAUAGCAUAAUGAUUCCGCAUGGUUUCAUUAUUAAAGGAUUCCGGUAAAGGAUGGGGAUGCGUUCCAUUAGGUUGUUGGUGAGGUAACGGCCCACCAAGCCUUCGAUGGAUAGGGGUUCUGAGAGGAAGGUCCCCCACAUUGGAACUGAGACACGGUCCAAACUCCUACGGGAGGCAGCAGUGAGGAAUAUUGGUCAAUGGGCGCUAGCCUGAACCAGCCAAGUAGCGUGAAGGAUGAAGGCUCUAUGGGUCGUAAACUUCUUUUAUAUAAGAAUAAAGUGCAGUAUGUAUACUGUUUUGUAUGUAUUAUAUGAAUAAGGAUCGGCUAACUCCGUGCCAGCAGCCGCGGUAAUACGGAGGAUCCGAGCGUUAUCCGGAUUUAUUGGGUUUAAAGGGAGCGUAGGUGGACUGGUAAGUCAGUUGUGAAAGUUUGCGGCUCAACCGUAAAAUUGCAGUUGAUACUGUCAGUCUUGAGUACAGUAGAGGUGGGCGGAAUUCGUGGUGUAGCGGUGAAAUGCUUAGAUAUCACGAAGAACUCCGAUUGCGAAGGCAGCUCACUGGACUGCAACUGACACUGAUGCUCGAAAGUGUGGGUAUCAAACAGGAUUAGAUACCCUGGUAGUCCACACAGUAAACGAUGAAUACUCGCUGUUUGCGAUAUACAGUAAGCGGCCAAGCGAAAGCAUUAAGUAUUCCACCUGGGGAGUACGCCGGCAACGGUGAAACUCAAAGGAAUUGACGGGGGCCCGCACAAGCGGAGGAACAUGUGGUUUAAUUCGAUGAUACGCGAGGAACCUUACCCGGGCAUAAAUUGCAGUGGAAUGAUGUGGAAACAUGUCAGUGAGCAAUCACCGCUGUGAAGGUGCUGCAUGGUUGUCGUCAGCUCGUGCCGUGAGGUGUCGGCUUAAGUGCCAUAACGAGCGCAACCCUUAUCUUUAGUUACUAACAGGUUAUGCUGAGGACUCUAGAGAGACUGCCGUCGUAAGAUGUGAGGAAGGUGGGGAUGACGUCAAAUCAGCACGGCCCUUACGUCCGGGGCUACACACGUGUUACAAUGGGGGGUACAGAAGGCAGCUAGCGGGUGACCGUAUGCUAAUCCCAAAAUCCUCUCUCAGUUCGGAUCGAAGUCUGCAACCCGACUUCGUGAAGCUGGAUUCGCUAGUAAUCGCGCAUCAGCCACGGCGCGGUGAAUACGUUCCCGGGCCUUGUACACACCGCCCGUCAAGCCAUGGGAGCCGGGGGUACCUGAAGUACGUAACCGCAAGGAUCGUCCUAGGGUAAAAC